CGUACUUGUACUGAUUGAGAUUUUAACACGAAGUGAGUGGCGAACGGGUGAGUAACACGUGGGUAACCUGCCCAGAAGUAGGGGAUAACACCUGGAAACAGAUGCUAAUACCGUAUAACAGAGAAAACCGCAUGGUUUUCUUUUAAAAGAUGGCUCUGCUAUCACUUCUGGAUGGACCCGCGGCGUAUUAGCUAGUUGGUGAGGUAAAGGCUCACCAAGGCAGUGAUACGUAGCCGACCUGAGAGGGUAAUCGGCCACAUUGGGACUGAGACACGGCCCAGACUCCUACGGGAGGCAGCAGUAGGGAAUCUUCCACAAUGGACGCAAGUCUGAUGGAGCAACGCCGCGUGAGUGAAGAAGGGUUUCGGCUCGUAAAGCUCUGUUGUUAAAGAAGAACGUGGGUAAGAGUAACUGUUUACCCAGUGACGGUAUUUAACCAGAAAGCCACGGCUAACUACGUGCCAGCAGCCGCGGUAAUACGUAGGUGGCAAGCGUUAUCCGGAUUUAUUGGGCGUAAAGCGAGCGCAGGCGGUCUUUUAAGUCUAAUGUGAAAGCCUUCGGCUCAACCGAAGAAGUGCAUUGGAAACUGGGAGACUUGAGUGCAGAAGAGGACAGUGGAACUCCAUGUGUAGCGGUGAAAUGCGUAGAUAUAUGGAAGAACACCAGUGGGCGAAGGCGGCUGUCUGGUCUGCAACUGACGCCUAAGGCUCGAAAAGCAUGGGGUAGCGGAACAGGGAUUAAAAUACCCCUGGGUAGUCCCAUGCCCGUAAACGAAAUGAUAACUAAAUUGUUG
rnacentral:rRNA from 1 species